rnacentral:rRNA from 1 species
UACGAAGGGGGGCUAGCGUUGCUCGGAAUCACUGGGCGUAAAGGGUGCGUAGGCGGGUCUUUAAGUCAGGGGGUGAAAUCCUGGAGCUCAACUCCAGAACUGCCUUUGAUACUGAGGAUCUUGAGUUCGGGAGAGGUGAGUGGAACUGCGAAUGUAGAGGUGAAAUUCGUAGAUAUUCGCAAGAACACCAGUGGCGAAGGCGGCUCACUGGCCCGAUACUGACGCUGAGGCACGAAAGCGUGGGGAGCAAACAGGG